rnacentral:rRNA from 1 species
GACGAACGCUGGCGGCGUGCUUAACACAUGCGAGUCGAACGGAAAGGCCCUGCUUUUGUGGGGUGCUCGAGUGGCGAACGGGUGAGUAACACGUGAGUAACCUGCCCUUGACUUUGGGAUAACUUCAGGAAACUGGGGCUAAUACCGGAUAGGAGCUCCUGCUGCAUGGUGGGGGUUGGAAAGUUUCGGCGGUUGGGGAUGGACUCGCGGCUUAUCAGCUUGUUGGUGGGGUAGUGGCUUACCAAGGCUUUGACGGGUAGCCGGCCUGAGAGGGUGACCGGCCACAUUGGGACUGAGAUACGGCCCAGACUCCUACGGGAGGCAGCAGUGGGGAAUAUUGCACAAUGGGCGGAAGCCUGAUGCAGCAACGCCGCGUGCGGGAUGACGGCCUUCGGGUUGUAAACCGCUUUCGCCUGUGACGAAGUGUGAGUGACGGUAAUGGGUAAAGAAGCACCGGCUAACUAUGUG